AGAGUUUGAUCAUGGCUCAGAAUCAACGCUGGCGGCGCGCUUAACACAUGCAAGUCGAACGAGAAAGCCGGGGCAACCUGGUGAGUACAGUGGCGUACGGGUGAGUAACACGUGGGUAAUCUAACUCUUAGUGAGGAAUAACCCUGGGAAACCGGGGCUAAUACCGCAUAAGCCCGAGAGGGGAAAGUCGCAAGACGCUGAGAGAGGAGCCCGCGGCCGAUUAGCUAGUUGGCAGGGUAAGAGCCUACCAAGGCAGAGAUCGGUAGCCGGCCUGAGAGGGCACACGGCCACACUGGCACUGAAACACGGGCCAGACUCCUACGGGAGGCAGCAGUGGGGAAUCUUGCACAAUGGGGGAAACCCUGAUGCAGCGACGCCGCGUGAGCGAUGAAGCCCUUCGGGGUGUAAAGCUCUUUCGGCAGGGACGAUAAUGACGGUACCUGCAGAAGCAGCUGCGGCUAACUACGUGCCAGCAGCCGCGGUAAUACGUAGGCAGCGAGCGUUGUUCGGAGUUACUGGGCGUAAAGGGUGUGUAGGCGGUUGCUUAAGUUUGGUGUGAAAUCUCCCGGCUCAACUGGGAGGGUGCGCCGAAUACUGAGCGGCUAGAGUGCGGGAGAGGAGAGUGGAAUUCCUGGUGUAGCGGUGAAAUGCGUAGAUAUCAGGAGGAACACCGGUGGUGUAGACGGCUCUCUGGACCGUAACUGACGCUGAGACACGAAAGCGUGGGUAGCAAACAGGAUUAGAUACCCUGGUAGUCCACGCCCUAAACGAUGCAUAUUUGGUGUGGGUCAUUCAGUUGAUCCGUGCCGGAGCUAACGCGUUAAAUAUGCCGCCUGGGGAGUACAGUCGCAAGGCUGAAACUCAAAUGAAUUGACGG
rnacentral:rRNA from 1 species